CACUGUGGAGAGAGGUAUGCAACAGCUUUUUGCCCUCAGUUCUGAUUUCCACACACUGGUUUUAGACAAAACAAAAAGAAGUUUAACACUACAAAAAGAUUUUAA